rnacentral:rRNA from 1 species
UACGUAGGGUGCAUGCGUUAAUCGGAAUUACUGGGCGUAAAGCGUGCGCAGGCGGUUUUGUAAGUCUGUCGUGAAAGCCCCGGGCUCAACCUGGGAAUUGCGAUGGAGACUGCAAGGCUUGAAUCUGGCAGAGGGGGGUAGAAUUCCACGUGUAGCAGUGAAAUGCGUAGAGAUGUGGAGGAACACCGAUGGCGAAGGCAGCCCCCUGGGUCAAGAUUGACGCUCAUGCACGAAAGCGUGGGGAGCAAACAGG